AUUGAACGCUGGCGGCAUGCCUUACACAUGCAAGUCGAACGGCAGCACGGGGGCAACCCUGGUGGCGAGUGGCGAACGGGUGAGUAAUGCAUCGGAACGUGCCCAGUAGUGGGGGAUAACCAGUCGAAAGACUGGCUAAUACCGCAUACGACCUAAGGGUGAAAGCGGGGGACCGUAAGGCCUCGCGCUAUUGGAGCGGCCGAUGUCUGAUUAGCUAGUUGGCGGGGUAAGAGCCCACCAAGGCGACGAUCAGUAGCUGGUCUGAGAGGACGACCAGCCACACUGGGACUGGGACACGGCCCAGACUCCUACGGGAGGCAGCAGUGGGGAAUUUUGGACAAUGGGGGCAACCCUGAUCCAGCCAUGCCGCGUGAGUGAAGAAGGCCUUCGGGUUGUAAAGCUCUUUCGGCUGGGAAGAAAUCGCAUCUCCUAAUACGGGGUGUGGAUGACGGUACCAGCAUAAGAAGCACCGGCUAACUACGUGCCAGCCGCCGCAGUAAGAC
rnacentral:rRNA from 1 species